GUUUAUAUAAUUUAAGUAAAAUAUUAGACUGUGAUUCUAA
rnacentral:tRNA from 1 species